rnacentral:rRNA from 1 species
AUUGAACGCUGGCGGCAGGCCUAACACAUGCAAGUCGAGCGCGAAAGUUCUUCGGAAUGAGUAAAGCGGCGGACGAGUGAGUAAUACAUGGGAAUCUGCCUGGUAGUGGGGGACAACGUUUCGAAAGGAACGCUAAUACCGCAUACGCCCUACGGGGGAAAGGGGGGGAUCUUCGGACCUCUCGCUAUCAGAUGAGCCCA